rnacentral:misc_RNA from 1 species
GAUGAAGAACGUAGCGAAAUGCGAUAAGUAAUGCGAAUUGCAGAAUUUCCGUGAGUCAUCGAAUCUUUGAACGCACAUUGCGCCCAUUGGUAUUCCGAUGGGCAUGCCUGUUCGAGCGUCAUUAUCCUCUCUCAAACCCCCGGGGUUUGGUGUUGGACCUAUGUUGCGGCCUCGCCCGCAACUGGUCUCAAAGACAAUGACGGCUUCCCGUGGGGACCCUCUUCGCAACGAGCUUUCACGAGCACGCGUCGAGUUUCAAGGACCCUGUGGGCCGGUCACACCCUUUUAUUUUCUAAGGUUGACCUCGGAUCAGGUAGGAAUACCCGCUGAACUUAAGCAUAUCAAUAAGCGGAGGA